rnacentral:rRNA from 1 species
AUUGAAUGCUGGCGGCAGGCCUAACACAUGCAAGUCGAGCGGAUGAAGGGAGCUUGCUCCUGGAUUCAGCGGCGGACGGGUGAGUAAUGCCUAGGAAUCUGCCUGGUAGUGGGGGAUAACGUCCGGAAACGGGCGCUAAUACCGCAUACGUCCUGAGGGAGAAAGUGGGGGAUCUUCGGACCUCACGCUAUCAGAUGAGCCUAGGUCGGAUUAGCUAGUUGGUGGGGUAAAGGCCUACCAAGGCGACGAUCCGUAACUGGUCUGAGAGGAUGAUCAGUCACACUGGAACUGAGGCACGGUCCAGACUCCUACGGGAGGCAGCAGUGGGGAAUAUUGGACAAUGGGCGAAAGCCUGAUCCAGCCAUGCCGCGUGUGUGAAGAAGGUCUUCGGAUUGUAAAGCACUUUAAGUUGGGAGGAAGGGCAGUAAGUUAAUACCUUGCUGUUUUGACGUUACCAACAGAAUAAGCACCGGCUAACUUCGUG